GUUCUGCUCACAACCCUCCUCUUUUCCUCUUUCUUCUAAACCAGGCUUGUCCAACCCGUGGCCCAGGUCGGCUCGUAAUGCGGCCCAGUGCAUUUUUUUUUAAUUUUUAAGAAUAAACCCACAACCCGGUUGCUGCGGAGUGUGUGGGUGGAGGAAAAGUCCAGGGAGUGGCCGCAAAACCUGUGCCAUGGAUUCGACCUCAGGGCCCAAAACCUCAGGCGAGACAUGAAGAAGCCUGAGGGACCUACAUGCCACUUCCUCCCCAAAUGUUAUCUGUUGGGGAGAGGGGAGGAGAGAAAAAAGGAAGGAAAAGGGGAACGGGGCAGCCAGGGGGCCCCAACUCCUCCCCACCAGCGGACACGGCCCAGCCCAGUUGCUCUCCUUCCACGCCCUCGUCACUGCACCUGGGGCCGGCUGGAAGCAGCAACCGCCUCGGGCGUCAGGCUGGGCCAGGCCUCGCUUGGGGGUGGUGGUGGCGGAGCUGGUGGGGAAGGGCUUGCCAGCCAGCCGGCCAGCCCGCCUCUGCCUGCAGUGCCUCACUCAGGGAGGAAGAGGCAGCGGCAGAGGCCCCGCGGGUGCCUAAGGGGAAAGGGAAGGAGCGACAACCACCUCCCUCCUCUCUGCUUGAGCGCGCCCCCCCUCCCUCGCUCCAGCGACGGGGCUGGAGCUGGUGUUCUUCAGAAAAUCAGCGAGAUGAAACUGAUGCUUUUUCUUGGUUUUUCUUUUGUUCUGAUCUUCUGCUCCUUCGCUCAACCAAGACAGCCUGUCAAUCUGAAAUGCUUUUACUGUGCUCCUAGACUGCCUGACAGAUGUUUCUUUGUUUACGAGGACUGCGUGGCUGAAGCGGGUGAAAGAUGCCAAAUAACAACAGUCUAUAGAGGUGAUGCGAUACAUUAUGUGGCUCGUGGCUGCACCAAUCCUACUCAGCGUGAACAUUGUGACAUGACCACAAAGGACCCUGUCACCAACAUGACGACCAUCAUGACCUGUUGUGACAAGAUGUUUUGCAACAGGGUACCUGCAACGCUCCCCUGAUUUUGUCUCCUGCCCCUGGGCUCUGCCAGAAAAAAAGCGGGAUUUUCUUACCUCAGCCUUUAGUUCCAACCUGCCUCUGGGAUGUUCCUGCUUCGUAUGAAUUCAUACUUCCGGUAUUCUGUUCAACAUGUGGGGUUCAAAAUAAAUAUUAUCACAUAUAUAUCUGGUGUCCA
rnacentral:lncRNA from 1 species